UCCCUGGCAGUUCAGUGGUAAGAACUCUGUUAUUACAAUUCAGGGGGCGUAGGUUUGAUCCCUGGUCGGGGAA
rnacentral:tRNA from 1 species